GGGCUUGUGGUUUAGGGGUAUAAUGUAAGCUUUCCACCUCCACCAUCCCUCUCACACUUAACUAACAUUCAUAGGUUCGCUUCGCAUCAUCCGCAUGUGUCUGCGAAAGGUCCUGGGUUCGAUUCCCAGCAAGUCCA